rnacentral:lncRNA from 1 species
UAUUUUACUAUGUCUUAUAACAACUAUUGAAUUUGUAUAAAGAAACCGUGUGCUUUAUACUUUAUAAAUUCAUCAAAUCCUUUUUAUUUUUUCAUGCAAAAGGGAAAUAAUAUGGUUAAAGUUAUUAAGUUUGUUUAUAUUACGAUCUACUUUCUUUCACUAUUUUUCAUUGCAAAGAACGAUGCCACCGGUAAGUCAUUGUUUAUUAUUUUAAAAUUUUAUUCUUAACUUAUUACCUAACCUUUUAUCCCCUUGAAUUACUAACAUUUUUAUCUUCUCUUUUAUCAUUACAGCAAUUCAUGAAUGUCGUGCACACUCUCAUUGUGUAGCAAGAAUUAACUGUGUGCUUCCUCGAAAACCGCAAUGUAGGAAUUAUGCAUGUGGUUGUUAUGAUUCAAAUAAAUAUCGCUGAUGAUAAAAUGUUCUAUGUGUAGGAAUUACACAUGUGUUUGUUAUAAUUCAAAUAAAUAUCGUAAAUGAUACAAUGUUCUAUGACAUGUCAAUGUCAAGUUCAUCAUGUUUUGAAGGGAAAACAACAACAAUUGCUUAUGGACAUCUGGACGUAAGAGUAAAGUUCUCUCCGGUAUAUCGUAAUGCGUGUUCUAAGGUGUUUGGAUGCAGACAAAAAGAUGACAUAAAAAAAUUAUCGAUUGGAUCAUGAGUUCAUCUUUGCUCUAUUUAAGUUUCCUCAAUUUAUUCCUUUUCACUUUAUUGUUGUGUGACAUGUGGCAAAUGUAAAAACAAGGGUUGGGAUUAAAAGCUUUGGCAUGAGCACUUUUUUAAUGAAAAAUAAAAUACACCCUUUUCCAACAAAACACACACUUUCUCUUUCUUCUUUCUCUGGAACAGAAACACGCUUCUUCUUCUUUCCCAGAAACGUACAACACUCUUCCUCCUCCUUCCUCUCACCAUCAUGGUUGCGUCUCCCUGUGACCGGUGCCGCCUCCACCGCCGUUCAUCACCCUCCGCUGCAGCGAUCUCCUCCUUCUCCACAUACAGCCUCACACAACUCGUCGUCGCAAACUUCGCUGUCGACAACGUUUUUUUUCUCUGCAAAUCGCUUAUUUAUUGCUGUUCUAAAUCAAAUUAUGAGAAAUUUGUAAAAGCUCAAUGAUGAUUUAAUUGAUUUACAAAUAAGUGUGAUUCAAUUCAAAGAUAGUGGUUGUCUUGAUUCACCGCGGUUCUGUUUGCGACGACGAGACUGAACGACAACGUUUGCGAGAGUGAAAGGGUGAGUGGCGAUGGUGCUGAUAGGAGGAGGAAGAAGAGAUCGUGUUUAUUUCUGGAGAAAGCAUGUGUGUUUUGUUGGAAAAGUGUAUUUUAUUUUUCAUUAAAAAGUGCUAAUGCCAAAGCUUUUAAUCCCAACCCUUGACUUUAAAUUUGCCACAUGUCACACAUCAAUAAAGUGAAAAGGAAUAAAUUGAGGAAACCUAAAUGGAGCAAAGAUGGUUUCUUGGAUCAUAUAUCGCACAUUAUAGGUCAUUUGAUAUUUAAUUUUAAAUUACAAUAUUAAAUUAAAUUUAAAAUAGAAUACAAUCGCGAGAUUUUUUGACAUUUCAUAGAAUUUAUUUUAUCUAUUAGAAAUUUGUAUAUUUUGCUUUGAUAUAGAACCAAAUAUGGAAAGACAUAAAUUGCUGAGUAUUUUGUUUUGUCUUAUUGUUUAUUCUCAUGAAUAUGAUUAACUAAUUUUAUAUUAAUUUAGUUUUUAGUUGAUUUUAAUUUGAGCACUUAAAUCAUGUGAUUGUAUAAACUCUAUUCAAUACAAUUAUUAUCCUAGUAUUAUUCAGUGAAUUUUUUCUUAAUACUUUUCAUAUAUUGAUGAGCUCUUGAUUUGGACAUAGUACUUCCUCCGUUCCAAAUUGUAUGACGUUUUGGGCAUUUCACAUAUAUUAAGAAAUGUAAUUAAUAUUGUGUGGGAAAGUGAUAUUAUGAGUUGCUUUACAAAAUUAUCCUUAAUAAAUGAUAUGGGAAAGAUAAAUGAAAGAAUUGAAAGAAGAAAGAGUAAAAUAGUUAAGGAUAUAAUAGGAAAAGUAACAUUAACGUUUCAUUUGUAUUGUAAAGUGACAUACAAUUUAGGACAAAUAUUUUUUCUAAAGUGACAUAACAAUUUAGGACGGAGGGAGUGUAAUGUUUGAUCUAACAUUUCAAUUUAGGGAUUAGGGUGUUGUAUAAUUGUAGAGACUAUGUGCAAUUUACCAAACUGCAAGAAUUAAUUGAUUCGAAAUAUUUGAUCACUUUAAUCUUUGAUGUUUUCUAAAACAAAUUAUUUUUAUUUUAUUUUUUGUUAAACUGAAAUAUAUGCUCUACAUACCCCAUUUGUUAAAUCUUAUUAUAAUUAAAUUUCUACGUUGAGAUUAAAACAAUCCAUGCGGAGACAAACUUAUAAAUCUUAUUACUUCGAUACAUUUUUAGUAUACUUGCUACAAGUUUAUCAAUCAUAAUUGGGUUAACAUCUUAACUAAUUAAACUAACCAAUUCAAGUAAACUCAUCUGUAGUCACAAUUUGCAAUUCCUAAUAAAUAGAAACAAAUUAAACCACAUAAUAAAACUAUUCAGUAGGAAAAACACAACAAUGUAAUGUUAAAGAAGAAAAAUAGACUAAGUGAAAAAGAAAACUAGCUAAGUUAAAACUUAUAAAUUAGGUUAUUUCAAUUUUGUUAAGGUAAAAGCAACACGUUCAUAUAUAUAGGGAGAAAAACAUUAAUGUGGAUAUAUAGAAGCUAUUCUUAACAUAUUUAUUAUUUAUUUAUAUUUUGAUAAAAUGAAAAGUUGAAUUCUGAACAUAUUAUUUUCAUUUAGUUUAGUUGACGUAAAAUCUAUAUCUAUAUAGAAGACAUAUUCAAAUAGCUAGCCUUUAUUUUUAGCACCAGCAAAUUUAGUUUUCUUGAUGUGGACAUAAAGCAUGCAUAAUAACUUUCUGCAUUCAAAACACAACAACACAUUAUAACAGCUAAAGAACCAUUAAUUCAAAAAUAGCAAUUUAAUAUUUCCAUAUUCACCUUCAUCAAAUUUAAUAUUUCUCAUCCACUUUUUCCGCUUUUUCCAUUGUUGUUCUCCCAAAAUUAAAGAGACUGCAGGAAGGAACCAUAACCAAAUAAGCACGCCUAUUUUAUGCUGGUAUGAAUCUUUACAAACAUAUGAAAAAUAUAAAAAUUUAAUUUAAUUUCAUCUUAAAUUUUGUACUUGGUUAGCAACCAUAACCCCGCUUCAUAUGUUUCCAUGUGGAUACCUACUCAUUGUUGUGUAGGUAGAUGAAAAGAUGGAAAUAUUUGAAGAAGAGAUAGAAUUUUAAGCUACAGGGUUAUUUAAAUUUCAUUUUUACACUCCAUAGAUAUUUUAUUUACGUUAUUAUGAGGUAAUCGAUGUAUGGAUCGACUAGCAUAUAAGUUACUUUAGAGUGAAUUUCGUACACUAUGAAAUAAUAGUAAGUUUCUCGAUCUUUUAAUUAAGCAUUUCUCUUUUUAAUUAUGUUAAUUUCACAUAUUUAUUAUAUGAAAACUUUUAUGUUUGUGAAUGUUUCAAAUUGAAAUUUAUUUUCUUGUAUUUUUUAUUAGAUUCUAUAUUUAAACUCAUCUCAGGAAAGUGUGUCACAUGUUACAAAAUUUUAUUCUAUUUUUUGUAAUUUUCCUUUUUCUAUCUCAAAACGGUAAAUUAAAAAUUAUUUUAUAUAAAUGAAUUUUUUUUAGGUGACCUCCUGUUUAAUUUUGUCCAUGGGACAAACAUAACGUAACACUUCAAUGUAGUUAAGAGAUAUUUUACUAAGUAUUAUAACAACUAUUUAAUUUAUGUAGUUAAGAGAUAUUUUACUAAAUCUUAUAACAACUAUUUAAUUUGUAUAAAGAAACCGUGUGCUUUAUACAUUAUAAAUUCAUCAAAUCCUUUUCUAUUUUUUUCAUGCAAAAGGGAAAAAUAUGGCUAAAGUCACUAAGUUUGUUUAUAUUACGAUCCACUUUCUUUCACUAUUUUUCAUUGCAAUGAACAUUGUCGGUAAGUUAUCAUUCAUUGUUUUACAAUUUUUUCUUUACUUCUUACCUAACCUUUUAUCCCCUUUAAUUACUAACAUUUUUAUAUUCUCUUUUAUCAUUAC